CGUAGGGGGCUAGCGUUGUCCGGAUUUAUUGGGCGUAAAGAGCGUGUAGGCGGCCAGGUAGGUCCGGUGUGAAAACUCGAGGCUUAACCUCGAGAUGUCAUCGGAAACCAUCUGGCUAGAGUCCGGAAGAGGAGAGUGGAAUUCCUGGUGUAGCGGUGAAAUGCGCAGAUAUCAGGAAGAACACCAAUGGCGAAAGCAGCUCUCUGGGACGGUACUGACGCUGAGACGCUAAAGCGUGGGGAGCGAACAGGAUUAGAUACCCUGGUAGUCCACGCCGUAAACGAUGGGCGCUAGGUGUGGGCGGUGUCGACUCCGUCCGUGCCGAAGCUAACGCAUUAAGCGCCCCGCCUGGGGAGUACGGCCGCAAGGCUA
rnacentral:rRNA from 1 species